AGGCAGGUGGUCUUUGCCGAUGGCCAGAGAAAAAGCCGCCGGCAAAGGGGGGCAGGGAAAAACCCGUCGGCAAAGGGUGGGCACGUGGCACGAUCUGGUGAUCGUGCCACGUGCUCAGCCUUUGCCGGCGGCCAGGCCUUUGGCCGUCGGAUAGGGUAUUUUUUUUGUUUUUUUUUAUCGCAGCAAUUUGAAAUAUUUUCACAGCACACGCACGCGCGCACGCACACACACACACACAUAUAUAUAUACUCAUCCACAUCACAACAAUACAUCCACAGAAAAUCAUCGACACAUUCACAUCACAAGCAUAUAUAUAAACAUCUCAUGAAAGUCCGAAAACAUCACAUAUCUCACAACAAAAGUAUUGCAAGUGAUCAUCGCAUGCAUGGUAGCAACAUAUAUAUUACAAGCUAGCUAGUGUUCAUACACGACAAGAUGGUGACUCGGACACCUUCAACAUCCACCACCCAUUGCACCAGUAGAAACCUAUGAAAUGGAGUUAGAAUAGCAUAAUUAGAUAUAAAGAAAGGAACUGAAGUGACAAUUGUAGUAUUUGAAGUGGAACUUAGCCAUUUAGCUCAAAAAUGGUGCAAUGGAAUCAUUUUUGAGCAAAUAUGGCUCAUUUGGCUCUAAAAAUGCCACCAAAGCACAAUUUUGGAGUCAAAUGAGCCAUGUUGGCUCCAAAAUGGUGUCCUGGUGGCAAAAAUGAGCCAAAUGCCCAAAUAUGCCACCAAGGGACCA
rnacentral:lncRNA from 1 species